AAUAGAUACCCUGGUAGUCCAAGCCGUAAAUUAUGCUUGCUAGGUGUCUCCGAUUUAUCGGGGGUGCCGUAACCUAACGGGUUAAGCAAGCCGCCUGGGUAGUAUACUCGCAAGAGUGAAACUCAAAGGGAUAGGCGGGGGAACACACAAGCAGUGGAUUGUCUUGAUUAAUUGGAUACAAAGCCAGUAAUCUUACCAAGGUUUGACAUAUAAUGUGUCUCCAGUGAAAGCUGGAUAGCCUGAGCAAUCAGGCGCGUUAUACAGGUGGUGCAUGGUCGUCGUCAGCUCGUGCCGCAAGGUGUCUAGUUAAGUCUAGGAACGAGCGCAACCCUCAUCUUUAGUUAGAAUGUCUAAAGAGACUGCCUCGGCAACGAGGAGGAAGGAGUGGACAACGUCAGAUCCUCAUGCCCCUUACAUCUUGGGCGUCACAGACAAUACAAUGGGUAGUACAGCGAGAAGCAAUACCGCGAGGUGGAGCAAAUCUUAAAAGCUAUCCUUAGUUCGGAUUGUAGUCUGGAACUCGA
rnacentral:rRNA from 1 species